rnacentral:rRNA from 1 species
GACGAACGCUGGCGGCGUGCUUAACACAUGCAAGUCGAACGGGAAGGCCCUGCUUUUGUGGGGUGCUCGAGUGGCGAACGGGUGAGUAACACGUGAGUAACCUGCCCUUGACUUUGGGAUAACUUCAGGAAACUGGGGCUAAUACCGGAUAGGAGCUCCUGCUGCAUGGUGGGGGUUGGAAAGUUUCGGCGGUUGGGGAUGGACUCGCGGCUUAUCAGCUUGUUGGUGGGGUAGUGGCUUACCAAGGCUUUGACGGGUAGCCGGCCUGAGAGGGUGACCGGCCACCUUGGGACUGAGAUACGGCCCAGACUCCUACGGGAGGCAGCAGUGGGGAAUAUUGCACAAUGGGCGGAAGCCUGAUGCAGCAACGCCGCGUGCGGGAUGACGGCCUUCGGGUUGUAAACCGCUUUCGCCUGUGACGAAGCGUGAGUGACGGUAAUGGGUAAAGAAGCACCGGCUAACUACGUG